AUUGAACGCUGGCGGCCGUCUUAACACAUGCAAGUCGAACGGUAACGGGUUGAAAGCUUGCUUUCAAUGCUGACGAGUGGCGGACGGGUGAGUAAGGCUUGGGGAUCUGGCUUUUGGAGGGGGAUAACCAUUGGAAACGAUGGCUAAUACCGCAUAGUAUCGAGAGAUGAAAGGGGUGGGAAACCACUUGCCAAGGGAUGAACCCAAGUGAGAUUAGGUAGUUGGUGGGGUAAGGGCCUACCAAGCCGACGAUCUCUAGCUGGUCUGAGAGGAUGGCCAGCCACACUGGGACUGAGACACGGCCCAGACUCCUACGGGAGGCAGCAGUGGGGAAUAUUGCGCAAUGGGGGGAACCCUGACGCAGCCAUGCCGCGUGAAUGAAGAAGGCCUUCGGGUUGUAAAGUUCUUUCGGUGGUGAGGAAGGUGGUAGUGUUAAUAGCGCUAUUGUUUGACGUUAGCCACAGAAGAAGCACCGGCUAACUCCGUGCCAGCAGCCGCGGUAAUACGGAGGGUGCGAGCGUUAAUCGGAGUAACUGGGCGUAAAGGGCACGCAGGCGGGACGUUAAGUGAGAUGUGAAAGCCCCGGGCUUAACCUGGGAACAGCAUUUCAUACUGGCGUACUAGAGUACUUUAGGGAGGGGUAGAAUUCCACGUGUAGCGGUGAAAUGCGUAGAGAUGUGGAGGAAUACCGAAGGCGAAGGCAGCCCCUUGGGAAGAUACUGACGCUCAUGUGCGAAAGCGUGGGGAGCAAACAGG
rnacentral:rRNA from 1 species